CUGGCUCAGGAUGAACGCUAGCUACAGGCUUAACACAUGCAAGUCGAGGGGCAGCAUCAUCAAAGCUUGCUUUGAUGGAUGGCGACCGGCGCACGGGUGAGUAACACGUAUCCAACCUGCCGACAACACUGGGAUAGCCUUUCGAAAGAAAGAUUAAUACCGGAUGGCAUAGUUUUCCCGCAUGGGAUAAUUAUUAAAGAAUUUCGGUUGUCGAUGGGGAUGCGUUCCAUUAGGCAGUUGGCGGGGUAACGGCCCACCAAACCAACGAUGGAUAGGGGUUCUGAGAGGAAGGUCCCCCACAUUGGAACUGAGACACGGUCCAAACUCCUACGGGAGGCAGCAGUGAGGAAUAUUGGUCAAUGGACGAGAGUCUGAACCAGCCAAGUAGCGUGAAGGAUGACUGCCCUAUGGGUUGUAAACUUCUUUUAUACGGGAAUAAAGUUAGCCACGUGUGGCUUUUUGUAUGUACCGUGUGAAUAAGGAUCGGCUAACUCCGUGCCAGCAGCCGCGGUAAUACGGAGGAUCCGAGCGUUAUCCGGAUUUAUUGGGUUUAAAGGGAGCGUAGGCGGGUUGUUAAGUCAGUUGUGAAAGUUUGCGGCUCAACCGUAAAAUUGCAGUUGAUACUGGCGACCUUGAGUGCAACAGAGGUAGGCGGAAUUCGUGGUGUAGCGGUGAAAUGCUUAGAUAUCACGAAGAACUCCGAUUGCGAAGGCAGCUUACUGGAUUGUAACUGACGCUGAUGCUCGAAAGUGUGGGUAUCAAACAGGAUUAGAUACCCUGGUAGUCCACACAGUAAACGAUGAAUACUCGCUGUUGGCGAUAUACAGUCAGCGGCCAAGCGAAAGCAUUAAGUAUUCCACCUGGGGAGUACGCCGGCAACGGUGAAACUCAAAGGAAUUGACGGGGGCCCGCACAAGCGGAGGAACAUGUGGUUUAAUUCGAUGAUACGCGAGGAACCUUACCCGGGCUUAAAUUGCAACUGACGGAACCGGAAACGGUUCUUUCUUCGGACAGUUGUGAAGGUGCUGCAUGGUUGUCGUCAGCUCGUGCCGUGAGGUGUCGGCUUAAGUGCCAUAACGAGCGCAACCCUUAUCGAUAGUUACUAGCAGGUCAUGCUGAGGACUCUAUUGAGACUGCCGUCGUAAGAUGUGAGGAAGGUGGGGAUGACGUCAAAUCAGCACGGCCCUUACGUCCGGGGCUACACACGUGUUACAAUGGGGGGUACAGAAGGCAGCUACACGGCGACGUGGUGCUAAUCCCGAAAGCCUCUCUCAGUUCGGAUUGGAGUCUGCAACCCGACUCCAUGAAGCUGGAUUCGCUAGUAAUCGCAGGUCAGCAUACUGCGGUGAAUACGUUCCCGGGCCUUGUACUCACCGCCCGUCA
rnacentral:rRNA from 1 species